UAUCCGGCCUGAGAGGGUGAACGGACACACUGGAACUGAGACACGGUCCAGACUCCUACGGGAGGCAGCAGUAGGGAAUAUUGCUCAAUGGGCGCAAGCCUGAAGCAGCAACGCCGCGUGGAGGAUGAAGGUUUUAGGAUUGUAAACUCCUUUUGUGAGAGAAGAUAAUGACGGUAUCUCACGAAUAAGCACCGGCUAACUCCGUGCCAGCAGCCGCGGUAAUACGGAGGGUGCAAGCGUUACUCGGAAUCACUGGGCGUAAAGAGUGCGUAGGCGGGGUUGUAAGUCAGGUGUGAAAUCCUAUGGCUUAACCAUAGAACUGCAUUUGAAACU
rnacentral:rRNA from 1 species